CAGGAAUGGUAACACCAUCCAUGGGGCAGACAUCACUGACCAUGUGGAAAUGGCAAGUGCAGGAUCCGGUACUUACCAGUUUAGAAUUCUAGUGAAAAUGGAUCUUAAAGGCAGAGAUCUAUGUUUAGAAUUAUUCUAAUGGACUAAGAGUGACAUAAUUAUAACAAACAGAUAAUAAUGUCCAGAUAUGGAUCUUCAGCUGAAGUUCUGAUAGCAAAGAGUGAUAGAUCUCUGUCAUUGCCUAUGGAAGUGACAUUGCUCCUUGAAAAGUUAGAGCAUCAAUAUGGUAUUUGAGUUUCAUCAUCAAUGAGUUAUCUACCUGGGAGAAUAUCACAGCUGCCAAUAGAAUACUGGAAAGAUUCUCUCAAAUACAUUUCUUAUUCAGUAGUCUGGAACAAGGUCCUCAAUCACUUUAAGUGUUUUUUUUCUUUCACAACGGUGGCACAUUUGUAAGAUUGUAAAAUAUAAAUUGUACCAUAAAUCUUAGUGAA